GACGAACGCUGGCGGCGUGCUUAACACAUGCAAGUCGAACGGAAAGGCCCUGCUUUUGUGGGGUGCUCGAGUGGCGAACGGGUGAGUAACACGUGAGUAACCUGCCCUUGACUUUGGGAUAACUUCAGGAAACUGGGGCUAAUACCGGAUAGGAGCUCCUGCUGCAUGGUGGGGGUUGGAAAGUUUCGGCGGUUGGGGAUGGACUCGCGGCUUAUCAGCUUGUUGGUGGGGUAGUGGCUUACCAAGGCUUUGACGGGUAGCCGGCCUGAGAGGGUGACCGGCCACAUUGGGACAGAGAUACGGCCCAGACUCCUACGGGAGGCAGCAGUGAGGAAUAUUGCACAAUGGGCGGAAGCCUGAUGCAGCAACGCCGCGUGCGGGAUGACGGCCUUCGGGUUGUAAACCGCUUUCGACUGUGACGAAGCGUGAGUGACGGUAAUGGGUAAAGAAGCACCGGCUAACUACGUG
rnacentral:rRNA from 1 species